ACCAGACUCCUACGGGAGGCAGCAGUGAGGAAUAUUGGUCAAUGGCCGGAAGGCUGAACCAGCCAAGCCGCGUGAGGGAGGAAGGCGCAGAGCGUCGCAGACCUCUUUUGCCGGGGGACAAAAGGCCGGACGGGUCCGGUUCUGAGGGUACCCGGAGAAAAAGCAUCGGCUAACUCCGUGCCAGCAGCCGCGGUAAUACGGAGGAUGCGAGCGUUAUCCGGAUUUAUUGGGUUUAAAGGGUGCGUAGGCGGGCUGUUAAGUCAGCGGUCAAAUGUCGGGGCUCACCCCCGGCCUGCCGUUGAAACUGGCGGCCUCGAGUGGGCGAGAAGUAUGCGGAAUGCGUGGUGUAGCGGUGAAAUGCAUAGAUAUCACGCAGAACUCCGAUUGCGAAGGCAGCAUACCGGCGCCCGACUGACGCUGAGGCACGAAAGCGUGGGUAUCGAACAGGAUUAGAUACCCUUGUA
rnacentral:rRNA from 1 species